rnacentral:miRNA from 1 species
GAGAGAGAGAGAGAGAGAGAGAGAGAAUUUUAAUAUUUAUUUUUUAGUUUUUGGCGGACACAACAUUUUUGUUUGUAUGUGGUGNCUGGCAUGUGUGCGGCCCAGGUUCGAUCCUCAGCACCACAUACAAACAAAAAUGUUGUGUCCGCCAAAAACUAAAAAAUAAAUAUUAAAAUUCUCUCUCUCUCUCUCUCUCUCUCU